GGAGGUGAUCCGGCUGGAUCAGGGGCCCGUCUCGAAAGCGGGUAGCACGGCUAGUACCCGUGUUGGAGGUUCGAGUCCUCCCACCUCCG
rnacentral:tRNA from 1 species